ACAGGGCGACGCCACCAUCCCCUCUAUUACUCUGCCUAUACAGUCGCAAUGCAUUGAAAUACUAUUGCCUGCUUGGGUAAAUCAACCAUGGUCUUCGUCAGGGUAGAAAAAAUGCCAUGGAAUGACGAACUUUUGCAACACAAAUACCAUUUGUGUUGGCCAAUUUCAAACACUCGAAAUCUAAAUAUAAUCCAUAGUACCAUUUUCAACUAAUGUACCUCUUUCACCGUGCAGAUAGCAGGAUUCCUGUAGUCCGGCAACGGCGUAUCCUCCAUUAUUUUUCCAGCCAUACCGUGUUUUGCUAGGAUUUGAAUAGGGAAACAAGUUUAGCAUUAAAAAUUCUCCUCUCAGUGAAAUCUUUCUGUGUUUCAGUGCAUUGGAUAACUAGCACCAUCAUCUGGGGCUUUCCAAAUGUAAACAAGAAAAUUCAAAACAACACUAAAAGAAUAGGAAUGACAAAUGAGAACAUUGAAGAACUUGUCUAUGAUGCUGUCAUAGAAUUGUUUGAUUUAUCCAGUUACUCUUCAACGUUACCAAAAGAUGCUAAAGAAAGAUACAUGUCGAAGCUCUAUGAUGUAAGAUGUGAUUGCCCAUAGAGCAUCGAGAAUGGAUACUGGACAUCACAUAAGGAGCUUGGGCAUGUUUUACCAUCAGUUGAAUUUGGUGACAUCUGGCAUUACCUCGUAUACCGAAACAACUUUUACACAGCAGGCGAAAUAAAGAAUUAUAAAAGCUGCAAAUCCUACGAAAUACUUGUUGGCGAUGGAUUGUUUUUUUUACUUUAAGGCAUUAAAACUAGGUAAUGGGAAUGUUUUGGCACAGGAAAAAGUGCACCACUCUAUGGCAUUUAAUCUGCCACCAUCAUUGAGACCCUGGGUGGCAUUUAAUUCUGCUGGUGGUGUCAUUACUGCACAUUGCGAUUGCAUUGCUAGUCUCGGAGAAUGCUGCAGUCACGUAGGCGCGAUCCUGUCAAGUAAUAAACUCACGGAAAAGUAUAUUAACCGUUACUGACAAGCCCAUGCAAUGGUUGAGGAAGUCAGUAAGGCCUAUAAGAAUGGUAGACACCGUGUCUGAAUUGAGAACACACAGAAGAAAGGAAAGAAACAUAUAAGGGAAAUCACAGUGAACUAUCUGUGCAAGAAUUUACCGACAUGAUGGAUCAGUUCAUGAGCAACAACAUACCAAGUGGUCUUCUCACAGUCCUACCCAAGUAUAGCCAACAUUUCAUUCCCAUGGAGCUAAGAGUUUCUCUUCCUCAACCGAUGUCAACAAUAUUUUCCAGUGAGCUAAAAAGGAAAACCAUUAAAUCUACUCCCUCAUGAAUCUGAAAAAAAAUUUCAUCGGUAUGCUGUUUCGGAGGAACAGUCUUAAGCCAUUGAAGAACUAACUCGAAAGCAAAGCAAGAGGGAAAUAUGGAUCAACUAUCGACGUGGUCGUGUCACUGCCAGUUUGGUGACAGCAAUUACUUCCACGAACAUUGAGAAUCCUGCAAAAACCACUGUGAUGAAGAGCUGCUACCCGGUGGUACACGCCUUCAGCAAUGAAGCUACCAGAUGAAAACUGUCUAAUGAGAAAAAAGCUCUGA